UACGGGAGGCAGCAGGGGGGAAUAUUGGGCAAUGGGCGAAAGCCUGACCCAGCGACACCGCGUGGAGGAAGAAGGCCUUCGGGUUGUAAACUCCUAACAGGCAUUAGGAAAUGUUAUGUAGAUAAUACCUGCAUAAUUUGACAAAGGUGCCAGAUGAAGUCAUGGCUAACUCUGUGCCAGCAGCCGCGGUAAUACAGAGAUGGCAACCGUUGUUCGGAAUUACUGGGCUUAAAGGGCAUGUAGGCGGUAAGUUAAGUUGAUUGUGAAAUACUCUGGCUCACCCAGAGAAUAGCGAUCAAAACUGGCUUGCUUGAGUGCGGGAGGGGAGAGUGGAACUCCUAGUGGAGCGGUGAAAUGUGUUGAUAUUAGGAGGAACGCCGGAGGCGAAAGCGACUCUCUGGUCCGUUACUGACGCUGAGGUGCGAAAGCUAGGGGAGCAAACGGGAUUAGAUACCCCGGUAGUCCUAGCUGUAAACGAUGGGCACUAAGUAGAGGGGGAUACCUCUCUGCCGUAGCAAAAGCAAUAAGUGCCCCGCAUGGGGAGUACGAUCGCAAGGUUGAAACUCAAAGGAAUUGACGG
rnacentral:rRNA from 1 species